AAGUCUCCCAUGUGCAUCUCCGGAUUCAGGGAUUGUAAAUCAAAUAAACUUUCUUCCUCUAUGCACUUUGCUCUUUCACUUGGUGAAGCCUAUCUCAUUGCCUCUCUUUCUCUCUGUCUAGGGUUUUCUCUUCCCCAGAUAACUUUUCAGCAACUCAAUCUUGCUUUAUAUGUUUAGAUUUCAGUCACAAUGAGAAUUUUUUGGACUUGAUAUACUUGCUUAUUUAUUAUUCUCUUCUGUUUGAUUUGAAGAAAAGAUUUGGAUAUUCUUGUUUGUACUAUGACUUCUACAGUUCCAGCAAAGUCUAAUAACCCACUUCACAACUUUGAUUUGCCAUAUUUGAAAUGGAAGAAGAAUCAGCAUUCAAACAAUCACCAACGCCGCCGAUCCAAUAAGCUUUCUUCAGAUUCAUCUUCCCCCUCGCCGCAGCGUCACUCUCCAAUGCGUGAAUCCAUGGCGGCGGCGGCGCGUCAGUCUCCUAUGCGUGAUUCUGUUGCACGCCAGUCUCCCAUGCGGGAACCUAUUCCGGGGUUUCGUCAGUCUCCCAUGCGCGAGUCAUCCUCUCCGAUGCGUGAUUUGGUUGUGGCAAAUCACCGGUCUCCGAUGCGUGAUUCUUUUGUGGCGUCUCGCCGAUCUCCAAUGAGUGAUUCUGUUGUGGCGUCUCGCCGGUCUACGAUUCAUGAUUCGAAUGCGGCGGCAUCUCGACGGUCUCCGAUGUCUGAGUUUGUUGCUGCGGCUCGCCAGUCUCCGAUCUCGGAAUCCAUUACGGCGUUUCGCCAGUCUUCCAUGCGUGAUUCCGUGCCUCCACGUCAGUCUCCGAUGAGGGAGUCUGUGCCGCCGCGUCAGUCUCCAAUGCACUGUGAAUCUGUUCCUGAAUCGGACAAGGACACAAGUGUUGUUAAGUAUCGUAGACAUUCACGAAUUUCAGCACCUGAGAGUACGAAGAAAGGGAUCUGUGAGAAAUCAGAUAAGAACCAUAAAGUUUUAGAGGUGGAUGCGGCUGGGAGUAAAGAAGGUAGAUCGAAAAUCUUGCUCAAAAUCCCUCGGAAAAAUCAUGAAGAGCAUAGGGGUGAUGAAUCUCAAGAGGUUACUGCAGAAGAGGAGGCUGCUGAAGAUACAGCACUAAAAACGUGGAAUCUGAGACCCAGAAAGGCUGUACAAAAGUCAUCAAAUCUGAAUGGAGGUCCAUUUCGAGCCAGUGGAUCGGCUAUACAGGAGAACAAAUUUCAAUCGCCUCACAUGAAUGUGAACAAGCCACAAAAUAGUGAAUCCAACCCUCCGAAGAAGGAAAAGAGGCCUAGGUUUUCGAUAGCCCUCUCCAGAGAAGAGAUUGAUGAAGAUAUAUAUGCUAUGACUGGAUCAAAGGCUACAAGAAAACCUAAGAAGAGAGUGAAGAAUGUUCAGAAACAACUUGAUACCCUCUUCCCUGGUUUAUGGCUAACUUCAAUAACUCCUGAUUUGUAUAAAGUUUGUGAAAAUGUUCCAAAGGGUUAAAAGGAAUCCUUCAAAGUUGGUGGUUGUCCUUCGAAUGUCCUUUGCUUUUUGUGGAAGUUUGAAGGUGAUGGCUUCCAAAUUUUAUGAUUUCAUUUGGAGGAAUAUGAGACUUCCAGCCUUAAAAGUUGUUAUCCAACACAAAUUCUCUUCUCCCAAAAACAUUAUUUGAGAGGUAGGAGGCAGUUAUAAGCUGAUAUAUGUGAAGGAGGGACCAUUUUGAAUCCUUCAUUUUAAGCAUCAUCAUCCAUCCCACUUGAGUAACAAUCAGUAUAUCUGUUGAAGUAGGUCAGUGGGAGGCAGCCUUACACUGGACCUGGCUUGGUUAAGUUACGAAGAUGAAGAACAUCAUCCAGGUUCCAACUUUGUGUAUUUUUCUCAUAAUAGAGGUUUACUUCUCAUCAUAAACAUUAUUAUUUCUUCCCCUGCUUCAUUCCUGAUCAUCUCUAUGUUCAGGUUGCAACAUACUGUGUGAUUGUAUGAUUGCAGAUUUAGGUGUUUGGGCACACAUGCUUUGUCAUUCUCUUUCCCCUCUUUGUGCAUCUGGGUGGGUGGGUGGGUGGGGGGAUUGGCUUAAUUAGAGAUGAUAUAUAAACCUGUCAUCCUCUUGUUUAGAGUUGCAAUUUACUCUUCUAGUUGUUUAGUGCUUGUGCUAGACAACGUUUACAGUAGAGUACUCAAGGUAUAGAACAGUCUAUUAUGAAGUAAGCAAGGUAAUUAAAAGCGAUUUCUUGAUUGUUUUGAAGCCAUGAAGCCAGGGGCGCUUAACUUCUGAGAAAUGUGCGCGCUUCAAACAGUGAAAUGCAAUAUUAUCUUGAGAAGUAGCAGCCAACUAUUGAAUCUUAUCUCUGAGGAGUUGGAUUGAUAUCAGCAUUUGAAAAUUAAUUCUUAUAGUACGAUUAUAUUGUGUUAAUUGUCUCUCAGUUUAUGUGUUCUGCUUCAAUUAAUUGUAAGCAUCAUUGCAUGGAUUUGUCGCUUUUUCGCGCAGUUUGUUUUUAAAAGCAUCGAAACAUGGGAUAAGAGGGUGCAUUUGAUACGAAGGUACGAAGGAACUGUUCUUCAAGAAAAUAUUUUCUUUCUAAGCAAAAGGUUUUUGUUGUGUUA